AUUCCAGCUCCAAUAGCGUAUAUUAAAGUUGUUGCAGUUAAAACGCUCGUAGUUGGAUUUCUGCUAAGGACGAUCGGUCCACCCACUGGGUGUGUAUCUGUGUCGGCCUUGGCAUCUCCCUGGCGAACGCAACUGCACUUGACUGUGUGAUGCGGUAUCCAGGAUUUGUACUUUGAGGAAAUUAGAGUGUUCCAAGCAGGCGCACGCCUUGAAUACAUUAGCAUGGAAUAAUAAGAUAGGACCUGAAUUCUAUUUUGUUGGUUUCUAGAGCUGAGGUAAUGAUUAAUAGGGGUAGUUGGGGACAUUCGCAUUUAACAGUCAGAGGUGAAAUUCUUGGAUUUGUUAAAGACGGACUACUGCGAAAGCAUUUGCCAAGGAUGUUUUCAUCG
rnacentral:rRNA from 1 species